UGGAUCUUAGUGGCGAACGGGUGAGUAACGCGUAGGCAAUCUGCCUUCUAGAUGGGGACAACAUCCCGAAAGGGGUGCUAAUACCGAAUGUUGUACCGUUUCCGCAUGGAGAUGAUACUAAAGGUGGCCUCUGAAUAUGCUACCGCUAGAAGAUGAGCCUGCGUCUGAUUAGCUAGUUGGAGGGGUAACGGCCCACCAAGGCUUCGAUCAGUAGCCGGUCUGAGAGGAUGAACGGCCACACUGGGACUGAGACACGGCCCAGACUCCUACGGGAGGCAGCAGUGGGGAAUCUUCCGCAAUGGACGAAAGUCUGACGGAGCAACGCCGCGUGAGUGAAGAAGGUUUUCGGAUCGUAAAGCUCUUUCGUUAGGGACGAACGUGCUCUUUGUGAAUAAUGAGGAGUAAUGACGGUACCUAAAUAAGAAGCCACGGCUAACUACGUGCCAGCAGCCGC
rnacentral:rRNA from 1 species